rnacentral:snRNA from 1 species
AUACUUCCCUGGCAGGGGAGAUACCAUGAUCACGAAGGUGGUUUUCCCAGGGCAAGGCUCAUCCAUUGCAUUCCGGAUGUGCUGACCCCUGUGAUUUCCCCAAGUGUGGGAAACUCGGCUGCAUAAUUUGUGGGAGUGGGGGACUGCGUUCAUGCUCUCCCCUA